rnacentral:rRNA from 1 species
AUCUAGAAACACUACAUGCAUAGAGGCCCGACUUUUCGGAAGGGCCGCAUUUAUUUGAUUUAAACCAAUACCCCUCGGGGUUGUUUUGGUGAUUCAUAAUAACUUAGCGAAUCGCAGAGCUCUCGGGCGGCGAUGAAUCAUUCAAGUUUCUGCCCCAUCAGUUGUCGACGGAAGGGUAUUGGCCUACCGUGACUGUCACGGGUGACGGAGAAUCAGGGUUCGAUUCCGGAGAGGGAGCCUUAGAGACAACUACCACAUCCAAGGAAGGCAGCAGGCGCGUAAAUUCCUCAAUGCCAACUCGGCGAAGUAGUGACGAGAAAUAUCCAUGAGGGGCCCUACGGGUCUUUCAAUGGGAAUGAGAGCAAUCUAAAAACCUCAUCGCGGAUCAAUUGGAGGGCAAGUCUGGUGCCAGCAGCCGCGGUAAUUCCAGCUCCAAUAGCGUAUACUAAAGUUGUUGCAGUUAAAAAGCUCGUAGUUGAACUUCUGGUAGGAGCGACCCGGCCUUUGGGCGAAUGCCCUCUGUUUGCUGUGUGUCGUCUCUGGCCAUCCUCGCUGGCUUUACGUCAGCGUCUUUCACUGUAAAAAAAUUAGGGUGUUUCAAGCAAAAGUUUCUUUGGAAUAUUUCAGUAUGGGAUGAUAAGAUAGGCUCUCGGUGCUAUUUUGUUGGUUUGCACAUCAAGAGAAUGAUUACAGGGACAGUUGGGGGUAUUCGUAUUUAGAUGUCAGAGGUGAAAUUCUUGGAUUUUCGAAAGACGAACUACUGCGAAAGCAUUUACCARGGAUGUUUUCAUUAAUCAARAACGAAAGUUAGGGGAUCG